rnacentral:rRNA from 1 species
UACGUAGGGGCGAGCGUUAUCCGGAAUUAUUGGGCGUAAAGAGUACGUAGGUGGUUUCUUAAGUCAGAGGUGAAAGGCUACGGCUCAACCGUAGUAAGCCUUUGAAACUGGGAAACUUGUGUGCAGGAGAGGAGAGUGGAAUUCCUAGUGUAGCGGUGAAAUGCGUAGAUAUUAGGAGGAACACCAGUUGCGAAGGCGGCUCUCUGGACUGUAACUGACACUGAGGCACGAAAGCGUGGGGAGCAAACAGGAUUAGAUACCCUGGUAGUCCCUGAG